AAAACAAAACAAAACACAAAAAACCAGAGAAGCAAUGCUCAAUAUUCAACCAUUUCUUUAAAAAAAGAGAGAAGGGGGAAAAAAAUGUGUGUCUUAUGUCUAGUACUGUUCUAGGGGUUGGAAAAAUAUUAACAUUUAAUCUUCACAACUAAUAGGUGAGGUGGGCACUGUCCCCACUUUCUUAGGUAACAAAAGAGACACACUGCUAAAAAGCAGGGAGAGAAAUCCAGGUGUUCUGGCCCCACCCAGAGGACCCUCUGCUGUGCUCCACACUGCCUCUCGUGGGGUGCUGGGAUAGAGAGGAAGACAGGUGUGCAGGCCUGGUCCUGUUCUGAGGGCUUUGCUGAACCAGAUCCUAUGAGGUUAUUUUGUAAACUCUAAUAUAUGACUUGUAAACUGGACAUGAACAAGAAUUUGUGAUAUAGCCUCUUUACCAGGAUUGAAGAAGACAGAAAGAAAAAAAUCUUUGACAAAUUAAUUGCAGGAAGAAAUGAUCACAUUUUGGCUUACAUAUUUUGCAACAGCGGUAUAACACAAAGAAGUAAGCAAAUAUGGCAGAAGUGUGGCGCUUUUGGUGUCUACUUUUGACCAUAGUGGUGGCCCUGGUAUUCGUGGCUCCUGGGACUCCUACACAUCCUGCCCGAUGGAAGAAGGUGUUGGCCAAAAAGGUCAGCCAGCUGAUGGAUUGGACCAAGAAAGACAGAGUGAUAAGAAUGAGUGACACCAUGUUCUAUCAUUUUGUAUUAGAUGCACCAAAAAACUAUUCUGUUAUUGUGAUGCUUACUGCUCUCCACGAGUUCAAUUCAUGUGUCAUGUGCAAAGGUGCUGCCGAAGAAUUUCAGAUCUUGGCAAACUCCUAUCAAGGCCCUGGUGCAUUCACCACAAAGGUAUUUUUUGCAAUGGUGGAUUAUGAUGAAAGCCCUGAGGUCUUUGAAGCGCUCCAGGUGACGUCAGUUCCGAGUUUCUUCCACUUUUCUGCCCAGUGGAAAUUUACAACAGAUGACAUUUAUAAUUUGAGAGGAAGCGAUAUCGUUGCUGACCAAAUGGCUGAAUGGGUAGCAGAGAGAACACAUGUCAGCGUCAGAAUCAGACAGCCUACAAAUUAUCAUGGUCUCCUCAAGCUGGGGAUACUUUUGGCUCUCACUGGCGGACUUGGGUAUUUCUUGAAAUGGAAUAGGAAAUCUAUUUCUUGCAGAAUCUUGUGCGAAGUUUUAACUCUGUGCUUUGUGAUUGUGAUGACGUCUGGUCAAAUGUGGACUUAUAUAAGAGGAGAACCAUAUGUCCAAAGGGACCCUCGCACAGGACAUAAGCAUUAUAUCAGCAAAUUUAGUCAGGCUCAGUUUGCAGCAGAAACAUUCAUUAUUUCCCUGUUUAAUAUGUGUGUUACCCUGGGAGUGGUGCUGUUAGAUAAGGCUGCCACCUCGACGAUGAACAUCAUAAAGAGAAAGAUGAUGUGUCUGGCUGGUAUGUGUCUUGUUGCCAUAUUCUUCAGUUGGCUGCUUUCCCUCUUUAGAUUUAAAGUAACUGACUAUCCAUACAGGUUUCUCUGGGAUUAAAAAGGAUCCUACAGGCAUAGACAAUGAAGCAAGAAAUUUGAAAAAAAAAAAAAGUGAAGCAGAAAAAUGCAAACUCGUAACUUUUUAAAGUAAUUGAGAUUUCACCAAAAGAGACCAUAAGUGCCUUAAGUGCUUUCAAAAUCUGUGAAGUAUUAUAGUUUGUGUCUUCCCUGUUCUUAAUUUUUCUCCCCCAGUGUUAUAGAUUACUUCAAGUUGAAUUAUUAAAAUCUUUAGAGAGUACAACUUU